AACGAACGCUGGCGGCAUGCCUAACACAUGCAAGUCGAGCGCCCGUAGCAAUACGGGAGCGGCGCACGGGUGAGUAACGCGUGGGAACCUGCCCAGAGGUCUGGGACAACCGCGGGAAACUGCGGCUGAUACCGGAUGAUUCCUGAGGGACAAAGAUUUAUCGCCUUUGGAGGGGCCCGCGUCGGAUUAGGUAGUUGGUGGGGUAACGGCUCACCAAGCCUAUGAUCCGUAACUGGUCUGAGAGGAUGACCAGUCACACUGGGACUGAGACACGGCCCAGACUCCUACGGGAGGCAGCAGUGGGGGAGUAUUGGACAGUGGGGGCAACCCUGAUCCAGCAAUGCCGCGUGGGUGAUGAAGGCCUCGGUUGUAAAGCCUUCGUCGGGACGAGUGAUGACGGUACCGCCAGAAG
rnacentral:rRNA from 1 species